GACUCUUCAUCAAUGGAGGAGUUGUCUGAAACAAUUCAAAUUUCAACAGGACGGGACAAUGCAUCACUCACGGUAAAUAUAUCGAAAAACGGAAUAGCACACUUUUUGUGGCAGGAAGUGAAGAUCGAAUAAUAUAUCAGCGAUUUUCGAAACUGUUCAACUGUCUUGUACCAUCUCAGUCGACGAUCGGAAUUCAUAAUAGCUUCCAGAGCAGUAUUAUCGUCUAGGUUUUGUGGAUCAAUCAUUGAUUUGAGCUGUGUUAAAUUGUGUUUCCGACGAAUCUGGAAAUAAUGAAGUUUUCUUGAUUCUCUCUUGU
ensembl:ncRNA F27B3.9 ncRNA